UCAGUCUAUUUCUAGACGUGAUUUAUACUUCGCCCUCAACUUCAUUUUUCGAUAACUAUUUAUGCAAUAAACAACUGUAAUGUGCAUAACUGACCUUUUAAUACUGGAUUACAUUACUUAUGAUACGUGGAGAGAUAUGCAGCAUAGUAUAGAUGUAGACGUGAUUUAGACGUAUAAAUUUAUACUUCAUUUCAACGUCUAGAUUCAGUCUAUUUCUAGACGUGAUUUAGACCUAUAAAUUUAUACUUCAUUUCAACGUCUAGAAUCAGUCUAUUUCUAGACGUGAUUUAGACGUAUAAAUUUAUACUUCAUUUCAAGGUCUAGAUUCAGUCUAUUUCUAGACGUGAUUUAUACUUCGCCCUCAACUUCAUUUUUCGAUAACUAUUUAUGCAAUAAACAACUGUAAUGUGCAUAACUGACCUUUUAAUACUGGAUUACAUUACUUCUGAUACCGUGGAGAGAUAUGCAGCAUAGUAU